UUAAGUGACGAUAGCCUAGGAGAUACACCUGUUCCCAUGCCGAACACAGCAGUUAAGCCCUAGAACGCCUGAAGUAGUUGGGGGUUGCCCCCUGUUAGAUACGGUAGUCGCUUAGC
rnacentral:rRNA from 1 species